UACGUAGUGCGCAAGCGUUGUCCGGAAUUAUUGGGCGUAAAGAGCUCGUAGGCGGUUUGUCGCGUCGGAUGGGAAAGCCCGGGGCUUAACCCCGGGUCUGCAUUCGAUACGGGCAGACUAGAGUGUGGUAGGGGAGAUCGGAAUUCCUGGUGUAGCGGUGAAAUGCGCAGAUAUCAGGAGGAACACCGGUGGCGAAGGCGGAUCUCUGGGCCAUUACUGACGCUGAGGAGCGAAAGCGUGGGGAGCGAACAGG
rnacentral:rRNA from 1 species